rnacentral:rRNA from 1 species
UGAGUACGAGAUGCUACGGCAUGGAAGCAGUCUAUGUCAUACUUCCAAGAAAAGCUUGCACUGUCAGAAACAGAUAAUGCCUGUACCAUAACCGACACAGGUGGGUAGGUAGAGUAUACUAAGGGGCGCGAGAUAACUCUCUCUAAGAACUCGGCAAAAUGACUCCGUAACUUCGGGAGAAGGAGUGCCUUAUUUUUAAGGUUGCAAUAACAAGAUCCAAGCAACUGUUUACCAAAAACACAGGUCUCCGCUAAGUCGUAAGACGAUGUAUGGGGGCUGACGCCUGCCCAGUGCCAGAAGGUUAAAGAAGUCGGUUAGCAUUCGCGAAGCUGGUAACUGAAGCCCUGGUGAACGGCGGCCGUAACGAUAACGGUCCUAAGGUAGCGAAAUUCCUUGUCGGGUAAGUUCCGACCCGCACGAAAGGCGUAAUGAUUUGGAUACUGUCUCGGAGAGGGGCUCGGUGAAAUAGACUUGUCUGUGAAGAUGCGGACUACCUGCACCUGGACAGAAAGACCCUAUGAAGCUUUACUGUAACUUGAAAUUGAAAUUGGACUUUAUUUGCGCAGUAUAGGUGGGAGGCGUUGAAAAUAUUCUUGCGGGAAUAUUGGAGCCAUCAGUGAGAUACCACUCUUGUAAUGUUAGAUUUCUAACUUUAUAUCAUUAUCUGGUUAAAGAACAGUUUCAGGCGGGCAGUUUGACUGGGGCGGUCGCCUCCCAAAUGGUAACGGAGGCGCACAAAGGUUUCCUCUGAACGGGUAGAAAUCGUAUCUAGAGUGUAAAGGCAUAAGGAAGCUUGACUGUGAGACCUACAAGUCGAGCAGGGACGAAAGUCGGUCUUAGUGAUCUGACGGUGCUGAGUGGAAAGGCCGUCACUCAACGGAUAAAAGUUACUCUAAGGAUAACAGGCUGAUCUCCCCCAAGAGUUCACAUCGACGGGGAGGUUUGGCACCUCGAUGUCGGCUCAUCGCAUCCUGGGGCGGUAGUACGUCCCAAGGGUUGGGCUGUUCGCCCAUGAAAGCGGUACGCGAGCUGGGUUCAGAACGUCGUGAGACAGUUCGGUCCAUAUCCGGUGUAGGCGUUAGAAUAUUGAGAGGAGCCUUCUUUAGUACGAGAGGACCGAGAAGGACAUACCUCUGGUGUACCAGUUAUCGUGCCAACGGUAAACGCUGGGUAGCUAUGUAUGGAGUGGAUAACCGCUGAAAGCAUCUAAGUGGGAAGCCCACCUCAAGAUAAGUAUUCUCA